rnacentral:rRNA from 1 species
CCUACGUGAGGCAUCAGUUUUGAAUAUUGGGCAAUGGCCGCAAGUCUGCCCCAGCAACGCCGCGUGAAGGAAGAAGGCUUUCGGGUUGUAAACUUCUUUUACGGGGGAAGAGGAGAAGACGGUACCCCUUGAAUAAGCCACGGCUAACUACGUGCAAGCAGCCGCGGUAAUACGUAGGUGGCAAGCGUUGUCCGGAUUUACUGGGUGUAAAGGGCGUGCAGCCGGGCCGACAAGUCAGAUGUGAAAUCCGCGGGCUUAAACCGCGAACUGCAUUUGAAACUAUAGGUCGUGAGUGCCAGAGAGGUAAUCGGAAUUCCGUGUGUAGCGGGGAAAUGCGUAGAUAUAAGGAAGAACACCAGUGGCGAAGGCGGAUUACUGGACGGUAACUGACGGUGAGGCGCGAAAGCGUGGGGAGCAAACAGGACUAGAUACCCUGGUAGUC